rnacentral:lncRNA from 1 species
UUCGGAUCUGUCGGCUAGAGCUCGACUGGGAUGUCUGAUGGAGAGGGAUGGCUCUCUAUACUACCGAUCUAGGAGAAGCUCGGAUGUUUCUGAGGCUGCUGACGAGUCUACUAUUGUCAGAUGCCUUAGGUGCUGAUGUACGGACAGAAGUCAUUUGCUGUAGAAGCUCGGAUGGAGACUUUCUGUUGGUGAAGUUCGGUAGGAGUCUGAUUGCUAGAGAAGUCCGUCUGGGAUUUGCCUGA